UGUCAUAAAAGGUUUUAUGUUAUGGAGAUUCUAGGUCAAGUUAGAAGCCCAAGAUAUAAGCUUCUGUAGAUUCAGUGUAUUUGAAUAUGCCAUCAUUACAUAGAAUUUUGAAAAUUAGUAAGUAAAGGAAUAGAAUCAAGAAUCUGUCCUGUUUUUCUUGAAUAAAUUAUUCCUCAGGGUAACCAAAUGGUUGAUGAGAAGAAUGUUUUUGUCAUAGAACUAUGUUAGUUAACAAAGAAGAACAAGAGUCAUAAUGUGAACCAGCCAGAGUUCCCGUCGUGGCGCAGAAGAAACAAAUCCGACUAGGAACCAUGAUGAUGCAGGUUCAAUACCUGGCCUCGCUCAGUGGGUUAAGGAUCUGGCAUUGCCGUGAGCUAUGGUGUAGGUUCCCAGGCCAGGGGUCUAAUCGGAGCUGUAGCCACCGGCCUAUGCCAGAGCCACAGCAAUGCGGGAUCCGAGCCUCGUCUGCAACCUACACCACAACUCACAGCAACGCUGGAUCGUUAACCCACUGAGCAAGUGCAGGGACUGAACCCGCAACCUCAUGGUUCCUAGUUGGAUUCGUUAACCACUAUGCCACGACGGGAACUCCCAUGCUUUACUUUUAAGAACUAGUGCACAGUUGCAAUUAUAUAUAUAAUAUAUGCCUAUAUAUGUGUUUAGGUGUGUAUGUAUAUACACACGUAUAUGUAUACAUUCAUACACAUGCAUAUGCAUAUAUAUAUAUAUAUAAACUUAUUUUCAUAGUUUUUAGUGUAAAGAAGCAUGAAGUUUUAUAACCUCAUUUUAUUUGUAAUUAUCCUCAGGGAUCUCUUUAUGUACAUUCACAAAUGUACUCAGAAACUUUGUCAGGAAUGGGAGUUGAGUCCUCAGUUUCCAAAAACAAUUUGGUUAUACUUAUGAUGAAAUAGUAUGUCAAUAAAUCUAACAAACACAUGAAAAAUUUAAGAAAUCAUAUGCAGGAAGGGUAGCAAAUAUAUAGUUAUCAACUAGGCUAGUGAAAACCAUUUCACAUCAUGUGUGAAUUCUGCUCAGUUGGUUGAGGAUACCCAGAAUAUAAUAUUGAGAAACAUUUUGGGUCCAAGUGGGUUUAGCUGGAAAAGCCUGUCAUGCUUGAUUAAUGAUGUCUGCAAGAGGAGCAGGUGGGGUGGCACACAUGCCAUAUAUUUUCCUCCAUUAACUAUUACUGGUUCUGAGCUUCCAGAAGCAAAGAGAAAGCGUUUUACAUAGUGGCUUAUAUUCAUUAUCUAAUGAAAAGGCAAUGUUCACAUUUGUAAGAAAGAGGGGCUUUUUACUUGUUCUAAAUUCUAAAAUGAUUUUGUUUUUCUAGAUGGAAGGAAUAUUGAAAAAUACAAUGAGUGAUAUCAAUGAUUUUUCAGUACAUGUAUAGUAUAUGACUUUUAAAAUAUAUAUUAUCUCUUAAUAAUGCAAAAGCCUAUCAGAAAAAAGAAACAAGGUUUAUUUUUUGUGAGAAUUUCCAUGAGUAAUGUACUGUACUUAUAAAAGGUAACAAGACUAGAAAAAGUACAUGGAAGGUUAAGUAAUCAAUCUCUUGGAUCCCCCCCCCCACUUCUCCCUAUAUAAAGUUAUAGGUUUAUAUCCUUUUUUAAAAGUAUAAAAUUGUUUCAUUUUUCCUCUCUGGCCAAACAAAUUACAUGACAUUGUGCUGAAGAGGAAGGGGUUCAGUAAUGAGGAAUGGAUUGGACAUGUCAGGGAGACUAGACAGCCCUGUUGCAAUCUUUCAACUAUAACUGAUGUCCUAACAUUGGUUUUGACAACCUGUGACAAUGGCAGAAGCAGUAUGGAGAGAAUUUUUAAUAUUACACAGAGGCUGUAGAUAUAACUCAAGUGCCCAUCUACUUUCUUCCCUAGACACCUUUCCAACUUCCCGUCUUCCCUUUCCUUCUUCCACUUCCCACUUCUCUUAUUUUAUCACAUAUCCAAUGUUUUCUACCCCAUUAUCCCAUUCCUGGCCUUCCCAGAAGUAUUAAAUUAUUGAAUUUAAUAGGAGACAGGUUAAAGAUCAUUUCUAACCUAAUUAUUUUUUAAGUCGACAGGCCUGACUUCAUUUUUUUUUAUUUUUAUUUUUGCAGACAUUAUUUAUUAGAGAAUAUUUGGGGAUUCUAUGAUACAUAUUAUGUAAGCUAUUCCAUAUAUUCAGUUUUAGCUUUUUUUUAAUUUAUUUUUUAUUGUUAUUUCCCCCAACACACACUUUUUUUUCCCUGCGGUACAACGCGGAGAACAUAUGUGUAUAUAUAUAUGACAGGCUUGACUUUAAAUUGUUAAUUGCUUAAGGUAUUACCUUUUACUAGUAAAACUUAGUAUUGACUCUAUCUCAGUUCAGACAUUUCUCAAAUGCUGCAAUGCCUCGAGCUCAUAACAAUACCUUCUUACUUGAAUUUCUUUAUUCAAAAUUAAAAACCUAUCAUUGUUAUCCACACAAUGAGUAACACUAUAUUAUAAAUAAAUCUCCUAAUGGAGUAGCAGAAACAUAUCAUUUAAGUAAGUUCUCUGACCACAAUGAAAUUUAAUAUAAAAUCAACAACAGGGAGAUAUUGGAUAAAUCCCCCCAGGCACUUGAAGAGCAAUUAUAUCAUGCUUCUAAAAAAUCCAGAGGUCAAAGGAAAAAUCAAAAAGGGAAACAGGUAGUUUGAAUUAAGUGAAAAUGAAAAUGAGAAAAGUUUUCUGAGGUACCUCCAUACUGUUUUCCAUAGUGGUUGUACCAAUUUACAUUCCUACCAACAGUGUAGGAGGGUACCCUUUUCUUCAAACCCUCUCUAGCAUUUGUUAUUUGUUGACUUGUUAAUGAUGGCCAUUCUGACUGGUGUGAAGUGGUACCUUCUAGUUGUUUUGAUUUGCAUUUCUCUAAUAUUUAGUGAUGUUGAGCAUUUUUUCAUGUGCUUGUUGGCCAUCUGCACUAUUCACAAUAGCCAAGACAUGGAAGCAAGCUAAAUGUCCACUGACGAAUGGAUUAGGAAUAUGUGGUAUAUAUACACAAUGGAAUACUACUCAGCUUUAAAAAUAACAAAAUAAUGCCAUUCGUAGCAACAUGAAUGGAACUAAGUGAAGUAGUCAGAAAGAGAAAGACAAAGACUAUUUAUAUCUGAAAUUUAAUAUAUGGCACAAAUGAACCUUUCCACCAAAGAGAAACUCAUGGACUUGGAGAUCAGACUUGUGGUUGCCAAGGAGGAGGGAGAGGAAAUGGGAUGGACUGGAAAUUUGGGGUUAUUAGAUGCAAACUAUUGCAUUUGGAGUGGAUAAGCAGUGAGAUCCUGCUGUAUAGCCCAGGGAACCCUAUACUAGUCACUUGUGAUGGAACAUGGUGGACAAUAAUGUGAGAAAAAGAAUAUAUAUAUAUACAUAU
rnacentral:lncRNA from 1 species